UACACAUGCAAGUCGAGCGAGAAUUKUUGAAUGAUCUUCGGUGAAUGAGAUGAGAAAGCGCGACGGGUGAGUAACGCGUGGGAACCUGCCCUAUACACAGGGAUAGCCAUUGAAACGAUGAUUAAUACCUGAUAAGACCACAGCAUCACAUGUUGCAGUGGUAAAAACUCCGGUGGUAUAGGAUGUCCCGCGUCUGAUUAGCUAGUUGGUAAGGUAACGGCUUACCAAGGCGACGAUCAGUAGCCGGCCUGAGAGGGUGAACGGCCACACUGGAACUGAGACACGGUCCAGACUCUACGGGAGGCAGCAGUGGGGGAUAUUGCACAAUGGGGGAAACCCUGAUGCAGCGAUGCCGCGUGAAUGAUGAAGGCUUUCGAGUCGUAAAGUUCUGUUCUAAGGGAAGAUAGUGACGGUACCUUAGAAGAAAGUCCCGGCUAAAUACGUGCCAGCAGCCGCGGUAAUACGUAUGGGACGAGCGUUAUCCGGAAUUAUUGGGCGUAAAGAGUUCGUAGGCGGUCCUUUAAGUCAGAAGUGAAAGGCAGUGGCUCAACCAUUGUAAGCUUUUGAAACUGGGGGACUUGAGUGUUGGAGAGGAAAGCGGAAUUCCUAGUGUAGCGGUGAAAUGCGUAGAUAUUAGGAGGAACACCAGUGGCGAAGGCGGCUUUCUGGACAAAUACUGACGCUGAGGAACGAAAGCGUGGGGAGCGAACAGGAUUAGAUACCCUGGUAGUCCACGCCGUAAACGAUGAGUGCUAGGUGUUGGGGUAGCGAUACCUCAGUGCCGCAGUAACGCAUUAAGCACUCCGCCUGGGGA
rnacentral:rRNA from 1 species